GACGAACGCUGGCGGCGUGCUUAACACAUGCAAGUCGAACGGAAAGGCCCUGCUUUUGUGGGGUGCUCGAGUGGCGAACGGGUGAGUAACACGUGAGUAACCUGCCCUUGACUUUGGGAUAACUUCAGGAAACUGGGGCUAAUACCGGAUAGGAGCUCCUGCUGCAUGGUGGGGGUUGGAAAGUUUCGGCGGUUGGGGAUGGACUCGCGGCUUAUCAGCUUGUUGGUGGGGUAGUGGCUUACGAAGGCUUUGACGGGUAGCCGGCGUGAGAGGGUGACCGGCCACAUUGGGACUGAGAUACGGCCCAGACUCCUACGGGAGCCAGCAGUGGGGAAUAUUGCACAAUGGGCGGAAGCCUAAUGCAGCAACGCCGCGUGCGGGAUGGCGGCCUUCGGGUUGUAAACCGCUUUCGCCUGUGCCGAAGCGUGAGUGACGGUAAUGGGUAGAGAAGCACCGGCUAACUACGUG
rnacentral:rRNA from 1 species